UACGUAGGUGGCGAGCGUUGUCCGGAUUUAUUGGGCGUAAAGCGCGUGCAGGCGGUUCGUUAAGUUCAGGGUGAAAGCUCCCGGCUCAACUGGGAGAGGUCCUUGGAUACUGGCGGACUUGGAGGGAGGUAGAGGAGAGUGGAAUUCUCGGUGUAGUGGUGAUAUGCGUAGAUAUCGAGAGGAACACCAGUGGCGAAGGCGGCUCUCUGGGCCUUUCCUGACGCUGAGACGCGAAAGCGUGGGGAGCGAACCGG
rnacentral:rRNA from 1 species